UACGAAGGGGGCUAGCGUUGCUCGGAAUCAGCUGGGCGUAAAGGGUGUCGUAGGCGGGUCUUUAAGUCAGGGGUGAAAUCCCAGAGCUCAACUCUGGAACUGCCUUUGAUACUGGGUGUCUUGAGUGUGAGAGAGGUAUGUGGAACUCCGAGUGUAGAGGUGAAAUUCGUAGAUAUUCGGAAGAGCACCGGUGGCGAAGGCGGCGACCUGGUCCGAUACUGACGCUGAGGCGCGAAAGCGUGGGGGAGCAAACAGG
rnacentral:rRNA from 1 species